GUUGACCUCGAAUCAGGUAGGAAUACCCGCUGAACUUAAGCA
rnacentral:rRNA from 1 species